GAGCCAUUAGCUCAGCUGGCAGAGCAUCUGACUUUUAAUCAGAGGGUCGGAGGUUCGAAUCCUCCAUGGCUCAC
rnacentral:tRNA from 1 species